GCUGUGACGGUAUAGUGGUUAUUACAUUGCGUUGUGGCCGCAAUGACCCAGGUUCGAUUCCUGGUCACGGCA
rnacentral:tRNA from 1 species